AUUGAACGCUGGCGGCAGGCCUAACACAUGCAAGUCGAACGAGUGGCGGACGGGUGAGUAAUGUCUGGGAAACUGCCCGAUGGAGGGGGAUAACUACUGGAAACGGUAGCUAAUACCGCAUACCAUCGGAUUUGCCCAGAUGGGAUGAGAUAGUUGGUGGGGUCACGGCUCACCUAGGCGACGAUCCCUAGCUGGUCUGAGAGGAUGACCAGCAACACUGGAACUGAGACACGGUCCAGACUACUACGGGAGGCAGCAGUGGGGAAUAUUGCACAAUGGGCGGAAGCCUAAUGCAGCCAUGCCGCGUGGAUGAAGAAGGCCUUCGGGUUGUAAAGUACUUUCAGCGGGGAGGCGUUACUCGCAGAAGAAGCACCGGCUAACUCCGUGCCAGCAGCCGCGGUAAUUC
rnacentral:rRNA from 1 species